CGUCAGUGCAAAACGAAAACGCUUGGAGUGGGAGAAAGUUUGCGAGAGGGUGAAUGCGGUGGGUUGCGAGACACGCACCCCCGCGGAGAUUAAAAUAAAGUGGUCGGACCUCAAGGUGGAGGUCAAGCGGCGUACAGCUGCCCUCCGGAGGAGUACUGGCCAGACAGGUGGGGUUCCGGGGGAGGAGACCCUCACGCCGUUUGAGCAGCGGGUGGUGGCGAUUAUUAUUAUAGGGUAAGUGGCGUGUCACACAAAUGUCCACAUGCUUUGUCAUCCCACUGAGCAAAAGACGUAUAUUAGACGUCUAGUCUAAGUUCAUACUUAAUUUCAACGUCGGGAUUCAGUCUAUUUUUAGACGUGAUUUAUACUUCGCCCUUUACUUCAUUUUUCGAUAACUUUUUAUGCAAUAAACAACUGUAAUGUGCAUAACUGACCUCUAAAUACUGGAUUACAUUUCCUAUGAUACCGUGGAGAGAGAUGUAAACGCAACAGAUACACAGAAACAGGAAUUGAAAUGAACCAAUAUUUUUAUUGUGUCACAGAAAUCAAUGUGUCGACCGUGUCGCUGGCUUGCGGAACCCCGGCCCGCGGCAGCCCGUCCGCCGGCUCGGAGUCGUCGGCCAGGACCAGCGGCAUUCGGGCCACCCCGGCCCCCGGCCCCAGCACCAGCACCAGCAUCAGCGCGCCGACAAGCGGUGGAGCGUCCACCAGCCGCGGCGCUUCCGCUGGACCACCCGGAUGCAGUGGAAGGGUCCUCGCGGAGGGGGUCCUGCAAUCGCAGGAAGAAAUCAUCAGGGGGAUCGCGGGGAUCAACGAGUGGCUGGACCGGCUCGUAAAUGUCCUCGAGCGUCUGGUGGAGAAAAUAAAUUAAUUUGGCUCAUUGAACUGUGUAUUCGCUUCUUACCCAUUCACACUGUGGCGAUGAGAUUCACCUGCGCGAGGACGGCGGCCCGGCAGGGAUCAGCUCGCAUCCCUCCGUCUGCUGCUGGUUCGUCAUGUGGGGCGACGUGCUGCUCGGCCACGGGGAUGUGGCGCACGCUUGUCACAUAGUGAGUCAC